rnacentral:rRNA from 1 species
CAUGAAGUUGGAUUCGCUAGUAAUCGCGCAUCAGCCAUGGCGCGGUGAAUACGUUCCCGGGCCUUGUACACACCGCCCGUCAAGCCAUGGGAGCCGGGGGUGCCCGAAGUUCGUGACCGCAAGGAGCGACCUAGGGCAAAACUGGUGACUGGGGCUAAGUCGUAACAAGGUACC